UGGGGAAUAUUGGACAAUGGGCGCAAGCCUGAUCCAGCCAUGCCGCGUGAGUGAUGAAGGCCCUAGGGUUGUAAAGCUCUUUCACCGGUGAAGAUAAUGACGGUAACCGGAGAAGAAGCCCCGGCUAACUUCGUGCCAGCAGCCGCGGUAAUACGAAGGGGGCUAGCGUUGUUCGGAUUUACUGGGCGUAAAGCGCACGUAGGCGGACUAUUAAGUCAGGGGUGAAAUCCCGGGGCUAAACCCCGGAACUGCCUUUGAUACUGGUAGUCUUGAGUUCGAGAGAGGUGAGUGGAAGUCCGAGUGUAGAGGUGAAAUUCGUAGAUAUUCGGAGGAACACCAGUGGCGAAGGCGGCUCACUGGCUCGAUACUGACGCUGAGGUGCGAAAGCGUGGGGAGCAAACAGG
rnacentral:rRNA from 1 species